rnacentral:rRNA from 1 species
GUCGAGAAUCUUUCGCAAUGGGGGAAACCCUGACGAAGCGACGCCGCGUGCAGGAUGAAGGCCUUCGGGUUGUAAACUGCUGUCAGCUGGGAAGAAUAAGUUGUCGACGAAUAAUCGACAGCCUUGACGGUACCAGCAGAGGAAGCCACGGCUAACUCUGUGCCAGCAGCCGCGGUAAUACAGAGGUGGCGAGCGUUGUUCGGAUUUAUUGGGCGUAAAGGGUCCGUAGGCGGUUUGGAAAGUCGGGUGUGAAAUCCUACAGCUUAACUGUGGAACUGCACUCGAAACUUCCAGACUGGAGUGUGAGAGGGGUAAAGGGAAUUCCCGGUGUAAGGGUGAAAUCUGCAGAGAUCGGGAAGAACACCAGUCGCGAAGGCGCUUUACUGGCUCACUACUGACGCUCAGGGACGAAAGCUAGGGGAGCAAACGGGAUUAGAAACCCCAGUAGUCC